CCUACGGGCGGCAGCAGUGGGGAAUAUUGCACAAUGGGGGAAACCCUGAUGCAGCAACGCCGCGUGAAGGAAGACGGUUUUCGGAUUGUAAACUUCUGUUCGUAGUGAAGAAGAAUGACGGGAGCGAAGGAGCAAGCCACGGCGAACUACGUGCCAGCAGCCGCGGUAAUACGUAGGUGGCAAGCGUUGUCCUGAAUUACUGGGUGUAAAGGGAGCGCAGGCGGGAAGCCAAGUCAGCUGUGAAAACUACGGGCUUAACUUGUCGACUGCAGUUGAAACGGGUUUUCUUGAGUGAAGUAGAGUUUGGCGGAAUUCCGCGUGUAGCGGUGCAAUGCGUCGCUCUUCGGCGGACCACCGGUGGCGCCGGCUGCCCACUGGGCUUUAACUGCCGCUGAGGCUCGAACGUGUGGGGAUCACACAGGAUUAGAUACCCUAGUAGUC
rnacentral:rRNA from 1 species